rnacentral:rRNA from 1 species
UUCGCAAUGCCCGAAAGGGUGACGAAGCGACGCCGCGUGCGGGAAGAAGGCCUUCGGGUUGUAAACCGCUGUCGGGAGUUAAGAAAUGCAAGGGUGUUAACAGCAUCUUUGCUUGACUAAGGCUCCGGAGGAAGCCACGGCUAACUCUGUGCCAGCAGCCGCGGUAAUACAGAGGCGGCAAGCGUUGUUCGGAAUUAUUGGGCGUAAAGAGCACGUAGGCGGCCGUGCAAGUCUGUUGUGAAAGCCUUCCGCUCAACGGAAGAACUGCAGCAGAUACUGCAUGGCUAGAGUGCGGGAGGGGAGAGUGGAACUUCUGGUGGAGCGGUGAAAUGCGUAGAUAUCAGAAGGAACGCCGGCGGCGAAAGCGACUCUCUGGCCCGUAACUGACGCUGAGUGUGCGAAAGCUAGGGGAGCAAACGGGAUUAGAUACCCCGGUAGUCCUAGCCGUAAACGAUGGGCACUAAGUAGAGGGGUUUU